rnacentral:rRNA from 1 species
UACGGAGGGUGCAAGCGUUAUCCGGAUUCACUGGGUUUAAAGGGUGCGUAGGUGGGUCUGUAAGUCAGUGGUGAAAUCUCCGGGCUUAACCCGGAAACUGCCAUUGAUACUAUAGGUCUUGAAUUUUCUGGAGGUUAGCGGAAUAUGUCAUGUAGCGGUGAAAUGCUUAGAUAUGACAUAGAACACCAAUUGCGAAGGCAGCUAACUACAGGGAUAUUGACACUGAGGCACGAAAGCGUGGGGAGCGAUCCGG